UACGUAGGGUGCGAGCGUUAAUCGGAAUUACUGGGCGUAAAGCGUGCGCAGGCGGUUGGCAAAGUCAGCUGUGAAAGCCCCGGGCUCAACCUGGGAAUGGCGGUUGAAACUAGUCGACUAGAAUCUGGCAGAGGGGGGUGGAAUUCCACGUGUAGCAGUGGAAAUGCGUAGAGAUGUGGAGGAACACCGAUGGCGAAGGCAGCCCCCUGG
rnacentral:rRNA from 1 species